rnacentral:rRNA from 1 species
UACGUAGGCAGCGAGCGUUGUUCGGAAUUACUGGGCGUAAAGAGUGUGUAGGCGGUGCUCCAAGUCUGGUGUGAAAUCUCCCGGCUUAACUGGGAGGGUGCAUUAGAAACUGGAAUGCUAGAGGAUGGGAGAGGUAAGCGGAAUUCCUGGUGUAGCGGUGAAAUGCGUAGAGAUCGGGAGGAACAUCAGUUGCGAAGGCGGCUCUCUGGACCAGCACUGACACUGAGGCACGAAAGCGUGGGGAGCAAACAGG